AUUGAACGCUGGCGGCGUGCUUAACACAUGCAAGUCGAACGAGUGGCGAACGGGUGAGUAACACGUGGGUGACCUGCCCUGCACUUCGGGAUAAGCCUGGGAAACUGGGUCUAAUACCGGAUAGUGUGGUAUGGGCCCGCGGCCUAUCUGCUUGUUGGUGGGGUAAUGGCUACCAAGGCGCGACGGGUAGCCGGCCUGAGAGGGUGGACGGUCACAUGGGGACGGAGACACGGCCCUAACUCCUACGGGAGGCAGCAGGGGGAAAUAUUGCAGAAUGGGCGCAAGCCUGAUGAAGCCAUGCCGCGGGGAUGAAGAAGGCCUUAGGGUUGUAAAGUACUUUCAGCGGGGAGGCGUUACCCGCAGAAGAAGCACCGGCUAACUCCGUGCCAGCAGCCGCGGUAAUUC
rnacentral:rRNA from 1 species